rnacentral:rRNA from 1 species
GUCCCAGCCGUAAACGAUGGAUACUAGGUGUCGGGGGUAUCGACCCCUCCGGUGCCGCAGCGAACGCAUUAAGUAUCCCGCCUGGGGAGUACGGCCGCAAGGUUGAAACUCAAAGGAAUUGACGGGGGCCCGCACAAGCGGUGGAGCAUGUUGUUUAAUACGUCACUAACCGUAGAACCUUACCAGGGCUUGACAUCUGCUGACAGCCGGUGAAAGCCGGUUUUCCCCGCAAGGGGACAGCAAGACAGGUGUUGCAUGGCUGUCGU